UACGGAGGUGGCAAGCGUUGUUCGGAAUCACUGGGCGUAAAGGGCGCGUAGGCGGGGUCGGAAGUCGGGUGUGAAAGCCCCGGGCUCAACCCGGGAACGGCGCUCGAGACUCCGGCUCUUGAGUCCCGGAGAGGCGGGUGGAAUUCCUGGUGUAGCGGUGAAAUGUGUAGAGAUCAGGAGGAACACCGGUGGCGUAGGCGGCCCGCUGGACGGAGACUGACGCUGAGGCGCGAAAGCGUGGGGAGCAAACGGG
rnacentral:rRNA from 1 species